UUCCAAUGGCCAAAAGAGAUUCCCUGUUGGGGGUCAAUGCCUAAAAUUGAAAGUGUUGUACACUAAAUUUGGUGAAAAUGUAUUUUAGUUGAAGUUUUCAUACCUGGCGUCUUGGAGAAUCAAAGUACUUUUGGUCAAUAGCCAAAAUUCUUGGCACCUCAAUGCCGCUUGGAGCAGAAGCUACAGUAAUAGUGGCCAUUUUGAGUAAAAGCUUGAAUUGAGGAGGUGUUGAAUAUGGUAGAAAAAGGUUGAUACUAAAAUGUAGCCGAGAGCAGGUGUCCUUUUAAAGCAGCCUCAUUACGCUACAACAAAUGUUUGACCCAAAUUGUUACAUCGCCGUUAUAGCUGCAAGUACGCGGGUCAUCAGUGCCGCCACUUUUGUGUCAGGUCAAUUCCAAAUUGUUUUAGCGAAUUAUCUAAUGCGAAGAAAAAUAACCCCUGAUAUAUUCACUCGUAUAUGAGUGCGAACACUUAUAAUAAAAAAAAUUAUUUGAACCCUUCACAUUUUACUAUGAAGGCUGGUAACUAUUUUGAAUUGAAGGAUAUUGAUCGAUUUUUUGUCGUUACUUGUACCAUUCCUGGUAAGUUCUCAGUGGCAGAUGCAGACGUCUGAAACUGGAACAAAUGUUAUUUGGCAUGUCAUGCUAUUGAAAGGCAACACUGUCGCCAAACUCUUUGUUUCUUCGAAUAAAAGGUGAAUGGGUCAAUCCAAAGACAGCCUAAUAGUAAUGUAUCAAAUUCAACUAUACAAAUUUAUAUGGACAGGGCUAAACAUUUUCAUCCAAUUUCUGUGAUUUUUCAGUCAAGUAGUAUUGAAAAUAUGAAACGAAGCUAAAUGAUCUUGGUUCAAAAACUAAUUAGUAGACACUCACUUUAGCAACUUAAAUCUAAAAAAUCGUACCAUACCCUUAUCACUUUCACGAGAAUUGUGUGCAAACAAAGUUAUUGGUAGUCAGAUGAAGUACUUAAAUAUCUUCCUUUGGUGAGAAACUUUAACUUCAUAUUUAUACGUUGCACAUUAAUGCUCUUAUGAUAUGUUUAUUUUAGGGGUGUAAAAUAAGUCUUUAUCUUUUUAAAUUACAAAAUUGAGUAUGAUAAUGACAUGUUUGGCUGAAACAAAUGAUUUCUUGUAGGACACUUGCGAACAGAAACUGUUACAGAAGUUCUCAACCUCAAGGCAACCGGCAAAGCCUAAUCUACUCUUUGCUAUGUUGAGCUCUUUUUAAAGACGUUGACCUACAUCCAGUGAUUGUGCGUUGAACGCGACAGCCGAGUGAGGGUAUAAACGAGCCGGUCAAAAGCUUUUAGCGAACUGGAGCUGGGUUGACAUCUGGCAUUCGUCCAUCCCUUCUAUCGGGACUUGCCGAGGGGAAAAAUGAAGGGAUAUCAAAUUCACGAUUUUGCUGCCAAAGAAAAGGAAUUGAUCUUCACUAGAACAAGUAUCCAAGACUCGAUCAGAAAAAAAUUAAAUUGCUGUAGCCUCGACCAGAACUUAGUUCUAAGCUAUUGAACAAUCGAUUCGCCCAUAAUGCAGGUAGUACUCCAACUGAAUAUGCUCAUCAAAACUUUUUAUCAUUUUGAAGACAAUUCCAAACGUACUGUACUGUUGGAUCUAUCGAGCGUUUAAGACCAGAGAUUGUAUCACAAUUCUAACUUUGAACAAGUUGAUUGAAGACCAAAAGAGUGAAACAUAUUCAAGACUUGAACUCGGCAGGUUUGCAAAAGGUUGAACAAGUUCAAAGACGUUUUACCAGAAAUAUUGAAGGUACUUGAUACCGUACGUCUUCUAGAGUCUCUAUGAGCAAUUACUUUAAAUAUGGCAAAGGUGUUUCAAGAGAUCAUGAAGUUUAGACUUGUCGAAGUCCUUGCCUUAGGUAGCUUGGGGGUUAGAAUACAUUUUAGCACGGUAACCCAACUCGUAGGGCAUACAUACAGAGCUGAUUAUUGAGGGUCUAGAAGGUCAUUGUCUGUCUCUAUACUGCCAAGGGAUUUGUCAAUAUAGAUCUUGGCCUUUUUAGUUAAAAGGCUGAACGAGAUAGAGACAUAUCGCUUCGAUUCCCCAUUUGGUUUAGCUUUCUCAAAAUCAUUAUGGAAGCAAAUCACAUCCACAAAGGCAGAACCAGGCUGCUGCGGAUAUGACACUGCUCUUUGAAAACAAAUUCGGAUGAUUUUUACUAACCCUAGCACCCAGGGCGACUCGGAUUUUGCAUAAAUAUAAAGUUAAGUAAGAAAUGCAAAUCUUUGAUUUUAUGUUCCAAUGUGAGGCAAGGAAGUAUGAUCUAAUUUUCUAGGCAUUACAUUAUUUUCAGAAUGUUAAAACGUAAUAUACACAAGGCUUCUUCUCUUUUCUUCAUUUUACUAUGUUUAUUGACAUUGGAGCUGUCCGUUGGAUCUGACAGGACCUCCGAAUCCGAUCCGAAGAGAUUUUGUUGUAAUCUGCUAUUUUUUCCCAGUCCGACCGAAUCUGAGUUCUGAAUCCGAAGCAGAGAGAUUUGACUUCUUCGAAUUUUCUAUGCCCAAGUCAAAUCAUCUUGUCACUUCAUCACGUUUAUGCGGCAAGAUUGAGUAGUAAUCAAAUGUCGAAUUAUGCAAAUAAAAAUGCAAAUUAUUCCAGCAAUGAAAUGAAAAUGUGAUUGAAAAGUAAAAUACAUGUGGGCCCAAUAGUUUAUUUCUUUCCAAGUUGCAUUUGAUGCUUUCAUAUUUCACUUACCUUAUAGCUGGAGUAGACACAUCAUUUUCCGAAAGGCUGUUUAUCUUCGACUUGAUCCAUUCAAUUUCUUACAUUGGUUCAGGUUUAUUCUUGCUGUGAACAGUGAACUUGCAGAGUUAAACCACUCUUUUUUAAAAACAGUGAUGCAACCAAAGAAAGAAUUGAAAAUUAGUCGUAGGAUAAAACAUAGAAUGAAAAUCAAAAUUAUAGCAAUCAAAUAUUACUGUCAUCAAAAUGGUGGAAAAAUUGUAAAUUGAAGGUCUUGAUAUGUUGAAUAUGAAGGAAUUUGUCUUUCAUAUCCUCUAAAAAUUUACAGCUGUUCAGCCAGCAAAUACUUCAAUUCCUUUCUUCUAAAUUUUGUGGCUCUUUAUCUCUGUGGAAUUGCAAACAAUUAAGAUUCUUUUUAAGAUGAUAGAUUUAUUAAUUGUUUGCAACUGUAACGUUCUGAAAUUCCCCCAGAGAGUUUUGAAAGUAACAAACCAUGCUCAAAACAAACUUAUAUACAUUUAGUUAAUCCUGAAGUUUAGAAUUGGGUUUCGAUCCAAACCCAAUCUGACUUUUCCAUUCCUCAAUCCUCAAUCUGAAUCCCAGCAAAAAGGUCAAUCCGUCUGAAUCCGAAUCCGAAAUUUUUCGCCGAUCUGAUUCGGAUCCGAUGAGCAGCUCUAUUCCAUAGUAGUCCCAGAUCGUCAGAAAUGACAUUUAAUGAACACUAAUUUUUUACAUGCCGGUUAAUUGGCAAAUUUUGUAGAUUAGUAGGUCCUUGGAAAAGGCAUAAUAAACUGGCUUUGCCUUCAAUGCUCGUUUAUCGCGGGUUCUUCUUAUAUGCAAUAUGUGUCGUAAUCAAGGCAACUAUUGCCCAAGUAAUUGUAUCUUGUAAUGCUCUAAAGUUGGAUUCACGCCGGCUAACUUCCCAUGUCACAUUCAUUUCUUGUGGAUAAUAAUAAAUACCAUUGUUAGGGAGGCGGGUGAAAUUGCCUUGACCACUUAUGAUUUGGAUCACUCUUUUCAAGGGCAGACAAGCAAUCACAUUUUGAUAAUAACGGGUCUCACUCUCGGCGUAAAUUUUACUUUGAUUUUUGCAUUUAAAUAUACGCUUCUCAUCUAAAGCAAUUCCAUUUCCUUGUUCCAGAGCGAUGUCAGACAUGUCCAUGUACUGAAUUUUCAAAUCCCAUAUUGGUUGCCUUGGGAAUAAUUCAUGCCCGCUCUUAUAAUGAAUACAUCACUCAUAUUUCCCCCCGCCAAUCAUGUGGAGAUAGUUCACAUUGAUACCGCAUUUGAUUUACGCCCAUGUUGGUUUAAUCCUAAACAAACCAUUAAAUCGGAGGGAAUAUAUGCACAACACAGUGCAUUCAUUGGUGGUGUCUUAUUUGCCAAGCAGUCCAUUGAAUGUUAUCCGUUACAAAUGGUCUGUCUAACGUGUGAUUCGAAGCGAAUGUAAGGGCUUCUUCUUGAAAAGGCACAUGGUCGUUAGAUUUAAUCUAGCGGCUCACCAAGAUUCAUUUCCAGUCAUUCGUCUUAAUUGAUGCACAAAUGGCAUAAUAGCUCCCCAAUAUUUCAUAGGUUGACGUGACUCCUGAUGCGAAAUGGGAGCGCUGCUGCAUUUCUGGGAAAUGUACGUAUCUCACAUAAUAGGGUAGGUAUACUCUCUCCAUCUCUCUUUUUCCUCGGAAAGAAAGAAAGAGGCCCCUUUAAUUGGCAGGUCUAUUGAGGUUGCACGAAAUGGGCUAUUUUCUCUCGUCCCGAUCCAUCCUGUACGGCUCCCUGCAGUGUUAAAAACCGGCUUUCCUUCAUCGGCUGGUUGCAUGCCAACCAGAAGUGAUCGUUGGCUUGAACGUUUGAGAUAAGAACCAGAAAUCAUAUUUUUCAACGUAUCAUAAUUAUUACCUUCCAGACCCGGAAUGCACGUUUUCAGUCAGCUCCCAGGUCGACAAACACUGUUAUCGCUGUAGGAGUUGGAUGAAACCUAUCGACGUCGAAUCUGUUCCAGUUAUAAUUGGGCCAGCUUUAACCAAGUGGAGGGUUAAUGACCCACACAUGAUAUCCCAAUCCAAUGCUCCUGCUGGUUUGUGGAAGAUCAAAUCUCCUCUUGAACUUGGUUGUCGAUCUUGUCCGAGUUAAAUUGAGAUUGGCCCUCAAAAGAACCAUAUAUCCUGUAUCCAACACCUGGUACCCAUGAACUUGCUUGAGAGCGAAGAUUGCACACCCGAUAAUGGUACCUACUACUUGUCCAGGCAUUCCUGGAUCGUCCAUUACAACACAUCUGUAAAUGAUCUGACAAAGGAACUUUUCAGGUCAAACGAGGUUGGGCUUGAAACCAAUCAAGUCAGUGGCUUUCAGCGUGAAUGGAAGAAGGAAAAAUCCUGUCGGACGUUUCCAAAGAAAACUCGUCGAUCGAUCGCUUCCCAAUUGGUUUGGAUUGAAAAGAGGGCGAAUAUUUGGAAACUGAUCCAUGGCGAUUUUUGAAAUGAUUUUCGAAGCGAAUCCCUUGGAUUGACGGGCUUUGUGAUAGGGUGUGUGUAGCAAACUUACAUUUGGUUAUGGACAUUGGUGGCGAAUAAAGAAGUCCUAAAAUGAGCAGAUCAGAUUUCUCGACAGAGGUCAUCAUCAACGGCUGACUUUUCUUCUACUUGAGUUUCAAUUCGAUUUGGGAGAGAGAUGAAUUCAACACGGUUGGCCCGGACCCCCAAAUUAAGAACAUGCAACAAACCAACAUCCAGAAUCCGCCCAAAAACCCAGUCUUUCUUGGACAUGAAACUUCGUUGGCGCUUUUCGAUAUCUAAAUGAUUACUACACCCUCGAAUUAAAUCAUUAGUCAUGUCACACCUA